rnacentral:rRNA from 1 species
UACGUAGGGGGCAAGCGUUGUCCGGAUUUAUUGGGCGUAAAGAGCGUGUAGGCGGCCUGACAAGUCUGCUGUGAAAACUCGAGGCUCAACCCCGGAGGGUCUCUCGAAACUGUCGAGCUAGAGUGCGGAAGAGGCAAUCGGAAUUCCCAGUGUAGCGGUGAAAUGCGUAGAUAUUGGGAAGAACACCGGAGGCGAAGGCGGGUUGCUGGGCCGACACUGACGCUGAGGCGCGAAAGCCAGGGGAGCAAACGGG